GUGGAACCUCAGCUACCUUUUCCAUGCCUUAAAAGCUGUACUUUAUCAACUUUUACAUAUUUCCCAUUUAUCACUUCUGAGCAACAUGGUUUGUUUUUCUGUCAACCCUUGCUUUAUUUGGAUCCCUUGUUCAUUUACAUUUCAUGUAAUUAGUGCUGUACUGGGUGUAAAUCGAUGCUCUUAAUUGCUUUUCAUUUUCCCAGCCUAGUCCAUCUUAGGUUUCUGUCUCCUGUUUUGGGUUAUUUAAAAAAAGUUCUAGUUUUCCCCCGUUUAUUAGCUGAAUCAUACACCUUCUUAUUAUUCUUUAGGUGGUUACUCCUGCCUCGUCUCAGAACCUCUCCGGACUUGGUACUUUGUACCUGGUGUCCGCCCACCCCUUGCCCUCCAGCUCUCCAGUCCUUGCAGCUUCUUGGAUCUUCCUUCCACCCCCCACUCACCCCCCCCCCCCCCGCCCUUUAGCAUUCCCUUUAGUGCUGAUCUGGCGGUGAUGCGUUAUUUCCCGUUUUUGCCUGAAAACAUCUGACUUUUCAUUUCUUUAAACAUUUUUUUUAAUUUUUUAAAAUGUUUUUAGUUAUUUCUGAGACAGAGAGAGACACAGCAUGAGCCGGAGAGAGGCAGAGAGAGAGGGAGACAGAAUCUGAAGCAGGCUCCGGGCUCUGAGCUGUCAGCACAGAGCGUGACGUGGGUUCGAACUCAUGGAGUGUGGUAUCAUGACCUGAGCUGAAGUCGGACGCUCAACCGAUUGAGCCACCCAGGUGCCCCUCUUUAAUAAAAACUUUAAUGUUAAUUUAUUUGUGAGACAAAGAGUGUGAGCGGGGGAGGAACAGAGAGAGAAGGAGACACAGAAUCAGAAGCAGGCUCCAGGCUCCGAGCUGUCGGCACAGAGCCCAACAUGGGGCUCGAACUCACGAACUGUGAGAUCAUGACCUGAGCCGAAGUCGGACGCUUAACCGACUGAACCCCCCCAGGCACCCCUGUACUUUUCAUUUAAAGGGCAUUUUCAUGGAGUUGCGGAUUCUAGGUUGGAAGCUGCGGUCUUCCCGCCCCUCUGCAGCCCUCCCACUUUCCCGUCCGCAUCCGGAAUUCUUCUUGACGCCUUACUACUGCCCCUUUUAAGGGCUCCGAGUUACGAGUUUGUCGCUGCUGAAAUCCUGCAAUCAGAACUUCGUUUACAAACUCACCAGGUCCUACGUAGCUGACGUUGCCGAGGACAUACGGUGUCCCACGCCACACCGAAGCUCUGAUUACUUCCUCUUAACGUUCCUCGUACCUUUUUCUGGAAUAAACCAAAGGCACACUGAAUGGAUUCUGCCGUACUUGCUACUGGCGUUUCUUUAACACCCACGGCUCUUCCUCCUCCUCUGCUCAUGCCUGGGCAUUACUUACCGCUGUUGGUGAUGGUGCUGGGCCUAAGGAGGUUUCUAGACUUUGCUACAAACCAUGUGAACCUGACAAAGUAUGCACACAAUAUACAAACAAUUCUGUUAUUUAUUUAUUUUGAAUAAAAAAGUGGCCAAGAUAAUACUGCGGCUCUGCAUACAAAACACCACAUGUUCGAGGUCGUUCCAUAUUUACAAAACUGCCGUUAUGUACAGCACCGGAUAUUCACAGCAACUUUACUAGAAGCAUACGAGCAACUGAGGGGCGUCCAAAGUGGGAAAAAGCUAAAAACCAACCAUCUUUCAUUAACUGGAAAACCGGCCAACCAGCUGACUGGUAAAGGAAACGAGUACCUGUUAGGUUUUCCUUCUUCAGCAGUGACUAAAGAAAGACUGCCCCGCAGGGCUGUAUGCCGACAACACACCCUCCACAACCUCUUUGUUUUUUCUCCGCUCUUCUCCACUUCAAACUUGUCCCAGCAACCUUUGCCCUAGUAUUAAAUAAAAGCUCAGGACACUGGGAUAUGAUCUUCAGGAAAAGGCAGCGAACGAGUGCUGAUGAUGUGGCGUGGCCUGGUUCAACCCAGGAAGCCCAGUUCGAACCCAAGCGGGACUCUGGCCCUCUUCGGGUCGGCAGUCUUUGCAGUUUUGAACGCGCUGGAAAAAGGGAACCAUGCUCCGUCUUGAAGGUGGCAGGAAGUGACUCAUUCUACGCAUCAGGAGCACCUACUCCGUGCAAGGCACUUGACAUUAGGUGCUGCAGGAACUACCAAGAUGAAGCAGACAGUCCCUGCCCUUGAGGAGCUUACAAUCUAAUCAUGAACACUAUGUACAUAUAUACAGUGCAGAGAAGCAACCAAUUUUUCUGGAUGCAGGGUAUUCCAGGCCAGAGGUGUUCCUGUUCUUAAAGUUUCCUUUAAAUGCCAAAAGUCGAAACCACACCACCCAACCAGAUGGUAAGCACUGAGAAACUCUCUCUCUCUAACCUUAAGAUUUUUAGAUGCCUGUUCUUUUCAUUAAAAAAAAAAAAAAAAAAAAGUCCUAUGUGAACAUACAUAUAAUUCAAAGCUGAGCACGAAGAUUAGCACAGGCAUUGGGUAAACAUAAACUAUGUAUCACUAUACACAACACACUAAUUUUUCUAUGCGGUCUUGUUUCUGUAUAAACAGGUUUGAUAUUCAUGUUCCUUUCGUAAAGUACAAAUCUGAGUCAAAGUCCUGAAGAAGCCAUAAUAACCCAUUUUUGCUUUUAGUUUUGCAUUAGCACCCAGACCAAAGCGCGCGACACCCCAGCAGUCUGGUCGCCAAACGUAAAACCGAUAAAGCACGAAAGCGUCUCGUAGCCAUUGUGCCACCUCUUCCGGGGUCCAGCCUGACCACCUUAUGGGAUCUUUCUGCGAGAGUAACAGGAUGUCGUGAUGGCGAGGGAAGCAGAUUUUUACCAUGGAAACGGACAAGAUUUAGAGUGCCGAACUUUAAAUGAACCUCCCCGGCCCAGUUACGGCGGCUCACCUGGACGGGCUCCGCCUGUACUGCGUCGGGAGGCGGGCAUCAUCUUGCCUUCUUUUUAGCUCCCGCCCAGCCUGGAACGAAUGGCACCGCCGUGUUGGCCGUCUGAACAAUCCUGCCCUGAAUAAACUCAUUCACCGACUGGGACCUCAGGCUGUAUAUUAAGACCCGCCCCACCCCGAGUAUAAUUAUAACAAAAAAAAAAAAAAAAAAAAAGCAAGGUAAGAAAAGCUGAGUCACCUAAUCCGAUAAAGACACUGGGGGAGAAGCAGUCAUAUUCUAAAAGGAAUAACUUCUUCAUAGGAUAUUUUUUUUGACAGCCAUUCGCCCCUUAAACUGAUCGGUUGAAACACAGCAAGUUUUCAGAAGCAGCCCUGCUCUAACGGAGUACAUUUGCAGAGGGAGGCCGCAGCCUGCCUACCAGACUCAGCCUGGCUGGGAGGCUUCAUACUGAUCUACAGCAGCACCUGGGAAACGAGUGCCCAGUCUUCCGAAAAACCCCACUGUUUCAUCAGGACAGUGACGCUACAGUAUUUCAGACCAUUAGAAACAACUCUGUAUUUUGCAAAUUUGACUUAAUUCCACUUAAGGACAGUCAGAUUUCACACGCUCUGUAAUCACUUAAAAAGUUUUUUUAACGUUUUCUAUUUUGAGAGAGAGGAAGAGACAGAGAGCGGGGAAGGGAAAGAGCGGGAGACAGAAUCCCAAGCAGGCUCUGCACUGUCGGUACAGGGCCCGACGUGGGGCUCGAUCCUAUGAACCGUCAGAUCAUGGCCUGAGCGGAAAUCAGAGAGCUGGACACUAAACUGACCGAGCCACCCAGGCGCCCCUGUGAUCACUUUAAAUAGCAGGUAUCAUCUUAGCAAAUGUGAAGAUCAUAACUCCCCAAACCUUUCUUAGCCCCAAGAAAGAGCGGUCUGAAGUUUAGUAACUAUCAGACCUGAGACACACACCUCCUCCGCUCGAAGCUGUGCAUGCUUCCACUAACGACUAACAUGAAAACAAGUCACCGCAGUUAGAUCUUUUAGAGGCACCCGUAAAACCGACAACCUUGAGGGACGAGGUUAGAUUCUUGAGACAAGCUGGAGCCUCACCGAACUGUGCAACUCCACGGACACACAGAAAGGGAGCGUGUGAGCAGAGAGGUGUGUUCGUGAUUGAUCACGGGAGCCACGCGGACGCCCUCAAGGGUCCACAAGGGGGCUAACAUUAAGACAUUCAUUCAUUUCUCUGCCUAUUGGCUGUUUUCACCGCCCAAUCUCUUUAAAAAAAAAAGAA